AAAGCGCGAUAGGUAAUGCGAAUUGCAGAAUUCAGUGAAUCAUCAAAUCUUUGAACGCAACUGGCACUCUCGGGCAUCCCUGAGAGUAUACCUCUUUGAGUGUCGGUCUCACCCAAUCUCAACUGCGUGCAGUUGGAAAAUGAGGUGUCUCAGACGUUUGUCUGAGUCCCUUUCAGAAAGCUGAGCCUUUGACUCGGAAUCAGCUGUUUGGCAUUUGACCUAGAUCGGGUGCCAGACGCCGGCUGAUGUUGAUAAAAGACUUCGGUCUAUUCUAUCUCUACAUCGGUCGGUUGAAUCUGAGUUUGGUUUAUCAAGGAAAAACGAGAGACGGUCUCUGGCCUCUCUUCUAAACUUGACCUCAAAUGAAGUAAGAGAACCCGCCGAAUUUAA
rnacentral:misc_RNA from 1 species